rnacentral:tRNA from 1 species
AUUUAAGUAGUUUAAUUAAAAAUUGAAAUUUGUGGUGUUUCAGAUACUUUUAUUGUCUUAAGUU